UGGGGAAUCUUGGACAAUGGGCGCAAGCCUGAUCCAGCCAUGCCGCGUGAGUGAAGAAGGCCCUAGGGUUGUAAAGCUCUUUCGGCGGGGAAGAUGAUGACGGUACCCGCAGAAGAAGCCCCGGCUAACUCCGUGCCAGCAGCCGCGGUAAUACGGAGGGGGCUAGCGUUGUUCGGAAUUACUGGGCGCAAAGGGCGCGUAGGCGGACGAUCAAGUCAGGGGUGAAAGGCCCGGGCUCAACCUGGGAACGGCCUUUGAAACUGAUCGUCUUGAGUCCGGGAGAGGAGAGCGGAAUUCCCAGUGUAGAGGUGAAAUUCGUAGAUAUUGGGAAGAACACCGGUGGCGAAGGCGGCUCUCUGGACCGGCACUGACGCUGAGGCGCGAAAGCGUGGGGAGCAAACA
rnacentral:rRNA from 1 species